CUGCCAGAUCAGCCCCAAAUCUUCGCCCUUUCGCCCGGCAUCUACUGCCACCGGAGCCGCCAGGGAGGACGGGGUGGGGGGAGAAGUCGGGCCGCGCCGGGUCGCCUGGGCGUUUAGAUGCGGGGCCCGCCCCCCGCCCCAGCCCGCUUAAGCAGGCGGGAGAAACGAGACCCCAGAUACCUGAAAAACCCAGGCCAAGCCUGUUUAGUGACACCACAACGGGGAGCUCUCCCCGCAGAGCCAGCGCCGCAAGAGGCCCGGAGGCCGGGAGGUUCGCAGCCCCAGGCCCGGAGCCCGCCCGGGACGCCUCUCCCUGAGGAUCCAGGGCCAAACCAAACAGCAAGAACAAUUCUGAGAACUCGGAACUUCAUCCUUUCGUUUUAGCUUCUCCUGCCUUUGCUUGAUGGAGUCGUGUAUGUCUGGCACCUGCAUCUCUCAUCCCCAAGGGAGGCUGUCACACAGGAGGAGGAGGGACUUUAGGCAGGUGUGUGCAGAUGUGAAUUUAAUUGAUAAUUUGUUAUUUAUGCCCUCCUAUGGUUCAGAAGGAUUUCAGGGAGAUAGUGUGAAUGCCUAUGUUUUCCCACCAAUUGGAGCAUGUGGUGUCCACCCCAUUUCCCAUUUCUUCUUCUAUGACACUGGAGUUGAGUAUGGGUUUAGAGCCGACGACCUAGGUUUAAAUCCUGGCUCUCCCAACUGCUGGCUGCAUGACUUUCAGCAGGUUAUCUGUCUGCCUUGAGCUUCAGUGUCCUCAGCUGCAGGGUGGGAUGGCAUAACCUGCCUCCCAGUUUUGUUGUAUGGAUUAAAUGGGAUCAUACAUGCCAAAUGUUCAGUGUAGAACGGGCAUAUAGAAAGCACUCACAUGGGC
rnacentral:lncRNA from 1 species